AAAAAAUAACCGCCUUUCGCCCGCGGCCCGGAGAGAGGAAGAAGCCGAGCUGUCCGCUCUGAAUAUUGGUGUUCCUGUCUUCAGAAGAAAAUAACAACUGAAGCAUGCAGCGAUACUGUUAUGAAGCUGACAAGGCAAGUGCGACUGAUGACCUAAGUGAACAAUGGCACCAUCCCCAACUCAGCUUGAACAAACUUGGUACUCGCACUGAUGAAAAUUCAGCACUUGAGGAAAUUAUACUUGUGUGCGGACACUGUGAGGAGCAAGAAGCAUCUCCCAUAGCUCACAGUAUUAGCAGCAAUGGCUUGGUGGUAUCCACUCAUUUUUUUAUUUAU